UGCAUAUCAAUAAGCGGAGGAAAAGAAACCAACAGGGAUUGCCUUAGUAACGGCGAGUGAAGCGGCAACAGCUCAAAUUUGAAAUCUGGCCCCAGGCCCGAAUUGUAAUUUGUAGAGGAUGCUUUUGGUGCGGUACCUUCCGAGUUCCCUGGAACGGGACGCCUUAGAGGGUGAGAGCCCCGUACGGUUGGAUGCCUAGCCUCUGUAAAGCUCCUUCGACGAGUCGAGUAGUUUGGGAAUGCUGCUCUAAAUGGGAGGUAAAUUUCUUCUAAAGCUAAAUACCGGCCAGAGACCGAUAGCGCACAAGUAGAGUGAUCGAAAGAUGAAAAGCACUUUGAAAAGAGGGUUAAAUAGUACGUGAAAUUGUUGAAAGGGAAGCGCUUAUGACCAGACUUUUGCCCUGCGGAUCAUCUGGUGUUCUCACCGGUGCACUUCGCUUGGUUUAGGCCAGCGUCGAUUUUAGUAGGGGGAUAAAGGCUGGGGAAACGUAGCUCUUCCGGGAGUGUUAUAGUCCCCUGCGUAAUACCCUUACCGGGAUCGAGGUUCGCGCUCUGCAAGGACGCUGGCAUAAUGGUCAUCAGUGACCCGUCUUGAAACACGGACCA
rnacentral:rRNA from 1 species